AUCGCAGUCAACUCUUUAGUUUUUACUUCUAGAAAUUAUAUAAAAAAGCUUUAAAAAACAUACAAAAUACGUAUAAAUAUCAACUGAUUGUGGCUAGAAUAUUCAAGUGGCUAUGCAACGAAAUCAUUAAGAUGUUGCAAGCAAUAAAAAAAAAGCAAAAUGCAAUUAAAAUGUUUUCCGACUACAAUUGGCUGGCAUGGAGCAUGAGGCGACUUGGAAGAGAAAAAAUGUUUGGGUGAACAAGUCUUGCAGUCAAAGGCGCAGCUGGUUGCCGUCGAGUGCAAAGCGGACCUAACAAUGCGUUACAUUUGCUUUGGCAUUCCAAAUCCCAUGGAAAACAUUAAAAAUACAUUCCGUAAAUCUAGACAAAUAGAUGCAGAGUUUGAGUUACUGCGGAGACAAUUGCAGAGAGACUAGAAUAAUUAAUAAAUUGAUCACAUUGUUUUCACAUCUCCCGGAAUACUUUGUGUGUUAUUU